rnacentral:rRNA from 1 species
UACGGAGGGUGCGAGCGUUGUCCGGAAUCACUGGGCGUAAAGGCGCGUAGGCGGCCUGAUAAGUAGGGGGUGAAAUCCUGCGGCUUAACCGCAGGGCUGCCUUCUAAACUGUCAGGCUAGAGCACAGUAGAGGCAGGUGGAAUUCCCGGUGUAGCGGUGGAAUGCGUAGAGAUCGGGAAGAACAUCAGUGGCGAAGGCGGCCUGCUGGGCUGUUGCUGACGCUGAGGCGCGACAGCGUGGGGGAGCAAACAGG